AUGGCUGGAGUGGUGCGCCUAUGGAACGAUUGGGAGGUUCAAAUCCUAGUGCUUGUUAGCUUCAUGCUGCAAUUGGUCCUGCUCAUCUUCGCCAGGAUGCGGCGGCGGAAAAUCUCCAUCGUCCCAAGGACCCUCCUCUGGCUAGCAUACCUGUUGGCAGACUCCAUAGCGAUAUACAUCCUCGGCCACAUGUCUUUCUAUGGCAAGUCCUAUGGACACCAACAGCUCAUGGCAUUCUGGGCACCGUUCUUGCUGGUGCAUCUCGGUGGCCAGGACAACAUCACCGCCUACUUCAUAGAAGAC
rnacentral:rRNA from 1 species